GCAUCCGGUCGGUCAACCGGCAGCAGACCGAGCAAAAGGGUGCUGUUGUCGGCAGUUGGCGGUGCACUUACGCGGUCGCCGCCGUGUCCAAGCGCACGGCGUGACAAAACGACGCCGGAUCGCCCGGAUGCGUGCUGUACUCAACAAACCCCACCGCCCAAGCGCCGACAAGCGCCGAGUCGACGCCCAAGACAGAUGCCCAGUGGACAAGUGUGUCGUGCUCUGGCGGCGUCGCCGUCGGCACCGGCAUCGCGGCAGCGGCUUUGACCAAGAGCGCCCCUGCGGGCUCGGGACCGUCGUACCAUGGACCCCUCCACGUGCAGACAUCGGCCUCGUGGAGCAUGACGUUAACGCCCAUGUCGUCGGCAAAGAGCGCGAUCCCGUUACCCAUCUCGUCGGGUGCGUGAAUGUCGCAUUGCUCCAGGAGGCGCCGCACAGAGGAGGCGCCCUGCGCAUGCGGCAUCGGCACGCGAAAACCAUAGUAGGCCUUGGCCAUCGGAUACAACCCCAUGGUCUGUGCGGGGGCCGGGGGCGUGCGACUGUCCCGACGCGCUCGCGGACGUGUGUGUGUAAAUUUUUUUUGACCGCGGCGCAUCUCUUGUGCUCACCCAUGUGGCGACAUAAUUUUCUUUUCUUUUAACCCACAAAGAAUCGUUUGUGCAUUGAUGUCGGUCACGGCGCGGCGUCAACGGGCCGUUUUCAUUCCUAGUCCAAACCGCGAUUUUUGAAUUUUCAUUGACGGAGAAAUAGGCACAACGGGCCGCCG
rnacentral:lncRNA from 1 species